rnacentral:rRNA from 1 species
AUUGAACGCUGCCGGCAGGCCUAACACAUGCAAGUCGAACGGUAACAGGAAGCAGCUUGCUGCUUUGCUGACGAGUGGCGGACGGGUGAGUAAUGUCUGGGAAACUGCCCGAUGGAGGGGGAUAACUACUGGAAACGGUAGCUAAUACCGCAUAACGUCGCAAGACCAAAGAGGGGGACCUUAGGGCCUCUUGCCAUCGGAUGUGCCCAGAUGGGAUUAGCUAGUAGGUGGGGUAACGGCUCACCUAGGCGACGAUCCCUAGCUGGUCUGAGAGGAUGACCAGCCACACUGGAACUGAGACACGGUCCAGACUCCUACGGGAGGCAGCAGUGGGGAAUAUUGCACAAUGGGCGCAAGCCUGAUGCAGCCAUGCCGCGUGUAUGAAGAAGGCCUUCGGGUUGUAAAGUACUUUCAGCGGGGAGGAAGGGAGUAAAGUUAAUACCUUUGCUCAUUGACGUUACCCGCAGAAGAAGCACCGGCUAACUCCGUG